rnacentral:rRNA from 1 species
AGUGAACGCUGGCGGUAGGCCUAACACAUGCAAGUCGAACGGCAGCACAGUAAGGGCUUGCUCUUACGGGUGGCGAGUGGCGGACGGGUGAGGAAUACAUCGGAAUCUACUUUUUCGUGGGGGAUAACGUAGGGAAACUUACGCUAAUACCGCAUACGACCUACGGGUGAAAGCAGGGGAUCUUCGGACCUUGCGCGAUUGAAUGAGCCGAUGUCGGAUUAGCUAGUUGGCGGGGUAAAGGCCCACCAAGGCGACGAUCCGUAGCUGGUCUGAGAGGAUGAUCAGCCACACUGGAACUGAGACACGGUCCAGACUCCUACGGGAGGCAGCAGUGGGGAAUAUUGGACAAUGGGCGCAAGCCUGAUCCAGCCAUACCGCGUGGGUGAAGAAGGCCUUCGGGUUGUAAAGCCCUUUUGUUGGGAAAGAAAAGCAGCAGGUUAAUACCCCGCUGUUCUGACGGUACCCAAAGAAUAAGCACCGGCUAACUUCGUGC